GGUUAGUGUUUGAAACACUGUAUUUUUCACUGCGCCUCCUAGUGGUUCUUAGGUUCCUAGAUUUUUUUCUGCGAAAAUCAAAAACACGCGUUACAUAUUCUAAAAUACCCCAAAAAAGGCCAAAAAUGAGUAUUUUUAAAUUUUUUCAACCGUUUUAGGGUUCCAGCACGGCAGCGCUGGCUCCGCUGCCCUCGGUGACAUCUCCCUCAGUUUUGCCAUUUUUGGCCGAUUUUGGCUAGUUUAGGCCGAUUUUGCAUGAAAACUUGCAAAAAAAUGGGUUAGGCAACUUCUGUUGGCUG
rnacentral:lncRNA from 1 species